AUUGAACGCUGGCGGCAGGCCUAACACAUGCAAGUCGAACGAGUGGCGGACGGGUGAGUAAUGUCUGGGAAACUGCCUGAUGGAGGGGGAUAACUACUGGAAACGGUAGCUAAUACCGCAUACCAUCAGAUGUGCCCAGAUGGGAUUAGCUUGUUGGUGGGGUAACGGCUCACCAAGGCGACGAUCCCUAGCUGGUCUGAGAGGAUGACCAGGCACACUGGAACUGAGACACGGUCCAGACUCGUACGGGAGGCAACAGUGGGGAAUAUUGAACAAUGGGCGAAAGCCUGAUGCAGCCAUGCCGCGUGUAUGAAGAAGGUCUGCGGAUUGUAAAGUACUUUAAGCGGGGAGGCGUUACCAGCAGAAGAAGCACCGGCUAACUACGUGCCAGCAGCCGCGGUAAUUC
rnacentral:rRNA from 1 species